rnacentral:lncRNA from 1 species
UGCUAUGAGGCAUCUGCAGCCACUCUGCUAUCUCCUCUAACUGAAGAUCAAGACGUAUUCUGGACCUGUAUUCCUUCAUGAUGCAGAC